rnacentral:rRNA from 2 species
AACGCUAGCUACAGGCUUAACACAUGCAAGUCGAGGGGCAGCAUUAUCGAAGCUUGCUUUGAUAGAUGGCGACCGGCGCACGGGUGAGUAACGCGUAUCCAACCUUCCCCAUAGUCAGGAAUAGCCCGGCGAAAGUCGAAUUAAUGCCUGAUGUUUUCCACGGACGGCAUCUGAUGUGGAACAAAGAUUCAUCGCUAUGGGAUGGGGAUGCGUCUGAUUAGCUUGUUGGCGGGGUAACGGCCCACCAAGGCAACGAUCAGUAGGGGUUCUGAGAGGAAGGUCCCCCACAUUGGAACUGAGACACGGUCCAAACUCCUACGGGAGGCAGCAGUGAGGAAUAUUGGUCAAUGGGCGAGAGCCUGAACCAGCCAAGUAGCGUGCAGGACGACGGCCCUAUGGGUUGUAAACUGCUUUUAUAAGGGAAUAAAGUGAGUCUCGUGAGACUUUUUGCAUGUACCUUAUGAAUAAGGACCGGCUAAUUCCGUGCCAGCAGCCGCGGUAAUACGGAAGGUCCGGGCGUUAUCCGGAUUUAUUGGGUUUAAAGGGAGCGUAGGCCGGAGAUUAAGCGUGUUGUGAAAUGUAGACGCUCAACGUCUGCACUGCAGCGCGAACUGGUUUCCUUGAGUACGCACAAAGUGGGCGGAAUUCGUGGUGUAGCGGUGAAAUGCUUAGAUAUCACGAAGAACUCCGAUUG